rnacentral:tRNA from 1 species
GCGGCCGUAGCUCAGCGGGAGAGCGCCCGAUGCUUAUACCCGGGAGGGGGACCCCCGGGAGUUCAAGUCCCGGCGGCCGC